AUUGAACGCUGGCGGCAGGCCUAACACAUGCAAGUCGAGCGAGCGGCGGACGGGUGAGUAAUUCCUGGGAAUUUCCCAGUCGAGGGGGAUAACAGUUGGAAACGACUGCUAAUACCGCAUACGAUGGGAUUGCCCAGGUGGGAUUGGCUAGUUGGUGAGGUAAUGGCUCACCAAGGCGACGAUCCCAAGCUGGUCUGAGAGGAUGAUCAGCCACACUUGAACUGAGACACGGGCCUGAGUCCUACGGGAGGCAGCAGGGGGGAAUAUUGCACAAUGGGGGAAACCCUGAUGCAGCCAAGCCGCGUGUGUGAAGAAGUCCUUCGGGUUGUAAAGCACUUUCAGCGAGGAGGCGUUACUCGCCUAAAAAGCACCGGCUAACUCCGUGCCAACAGCCGCGGUAAUAC
rnacentral:rRNA from 1 species